UUCUCCACGUUCGCCGCAGGACUGCCGCCUUCCCGGGGCUCCCGACGCGGAGUCGGGGCUUCUCCGAACAGCAGAGCCCCGUCUAACCUGAGAAAUCCUCUCUCUUGGAUGCAGACGCUGACAAAGAACCAGGAAACACAUCUGGGAGCGAAAAACCCUGAAAACGAGGAACGACUCUCAGCUGUAGAAGUGCCAACGAAGCAGGUGGUCGAGGAGUGACCUUGCCGGUGCCGGGCACCUGUGCUCCUGCCUGGUCCCUGCCGUGUCUCCUCCGCAUGGGGACGGCGCUGCGGAGAGCCUGCUGUCGCUCCCCUCUAGUCCUCGGGCCCUCGCUGCAGCCAGGAAAGAAACUACAGAGCCUGAGCACCCCAUGCCCUUUCUGGGGGAAAGACGUCGGGACUCAGGAAAAUGAAGAAAUCGCACCACUGCUGUAAAGAAGAUAUAACUUCUUUAAAAUAAGCAUGGACGCAGUACUUGAAGGACUUGCCAUCAGCAGAAGGCUGCGGACCCCAUAGCUCCCGGGGCCCGUGCUGCAUGGUCAGCUCAGCAGUUCUGUUUUGAGCGGCGUCGAGGGUGCGCAGCCUCGAGCGCUGCCGUCACCAUGCCCGUGAACUCUGACCAGUGCUUCCAGCCGUUGAGCCGUGGGCAAGACCCAGAACCGUGUCCGGUCCCCGCUGUAGUGG